GGACCGCUAGCUCAAUUUGGCAGAGCAACUGACUCUUAAUCAGUGUGUUCCGGGUUCGAGUCCCGGGCGGUUCACCA
rnacentral:tRNA from 1 species